UAGACUGGUUCCUGACCUGUGCACAAAAAAUGCACAGAAGCGUAGUAUCAGUACAACCGACCCCAUGUGCUGGUAAGUGCCCGGCCUGAACCUCGGCGAGGUAGUGACGAGGCUAAACCGGACCUAUCACAACCAACCUGUACAGAUAUAUNNNNNNNNNNNNNNNNNNNNNNNNNNNNNNNNNNNNNNNNNNNNNNNNNNNNNNNNNNNNNNNNNNNNNNNUAUCACAACGAACCUGUACAGAUAUAUGCAAUAACAGAAAUAGAGCAAGAACUUAAGCAAUAAAAGGGGAAAGGGACAUGCUGGGGGAGUGGCAGUUCAAUUAUAACUUCUACAAUCAAGAGAUUAAACUGAAUAAAUAAUAAUUAAACAAGAAAGCCAAUGAAUCAACAGCUGCACGACAUCACCCUUUGUGCUUUUACUUUCAUGCCUCACCAAGGUAGUCAGAUAUAAUGCACUGCAUCACCCUUCAUGCUUUUACUCUCGAUAAACAGUGCAUGACAUCACCCAUCGUGCUUCUAUUCUCAUUAAACAGUGCACGGCAUCACCCUUCGUGCUUUUACUCUCUUUUCCUCUCCCAAUCAAUGGUCACAGCCAAAUGGGAACAUGGAAAUAUAUAUCAAGACAAAAUAUUCCGGCAAGGGAGAACAAUUCAACAAAUGGUCCCCGCAAGGGAAAUACAACUCAACAAUAUGUCCCGGCAAGGGAAUACAACUCAACAAAUGGUCCCGGCAAGAGAAAAGUGCCAAACAUUCCUCUCCAGUUCAUUUAAUUCCCAACUUUCACUACAUAGUUCUUGUAACAAGUAAUUAUCAUAUUUGUUCACUUACUUCACAAUUUAAUAGCAAAUGUGACAUCACGGUCAUGCUUGACUCGGGCGCAUAGGUAACCGUCACCAUACCUAUACACCGCCCCUACAUAGCACAUAAUAAAUAACAACCUAAUCCUAUUCCCUCGAGCCAAAGUUAGAUCGAACACUUACCUCGAAAGCUUCCAACUCAACUCACGCUUUUAGAAUUGUUUUACCCUUCUAAUUCGCUUUAAAACCGGUCGAAUAAGUAGUUUGGGGACGAAGGGGUUCGAGAGAAAUCGCCUAUGAUGGUCUUAGGUUUUGAAAAAUAUGAAAAGUUAGGUUUGAAUUCAUUUAAGUAUCAGUUGCAGGGUGAAGAUGUCGCAAAUGCGAUAUGAACUUCGCUUUUGCGAACUGAGGAGAAAUGAAAGGGACCUCGCAAUUGCGAGAAAUAGUUCGAAAUUGCGAGCUGGGCAAGGAAGACGGAGAACUCGCAAUUGCGAGAUUGGACUUCGCAUUUGCGAAGUCUAGCUACAUGGGGGAAUAUUGCAUUUGCGAUGACAGGGCCAAGCAGGGGAUGUUCGCAUUUGCGAACAAGUCUUCGCAAUUGCGAAGUCUGCAGACACCAGCAGUGGAAAUGCAAUAAAAAUGAGCCUAACACCUAUCUGACACUCACCGAGCCCUCGAAGCUCCAACCCAAACAUGCACCCAACCUCUAAAACAUCAUACAGACUUACUCGUGCGAUCAAAUCGCCACGAUAACAUCAAAAUUAAAGAAUCAACCUCCAAAACUCAUGAUUGUCAUUUCAAAGUUCUAAAAUUUCAAAUUUUUUACCACAUUUAGUUCGAAACACGUCAAACGACGUCCGUUUUCAACCAAACUUUACAGAUAGCGCUUAACGCCAAUGUAAGACUUGUAUCGUGCAUCAGAACAAAAAUACGAGCCCGAUACCAUCACUUUUGAUCAAAUUUUCAUUUCCACUUUACCUUAAGCAUUUCCAAAAACAAAUUCACAGAAAAGCUCCGUAAUUGGGUCUGGGACCUCGAAUUUCGAUUCCGGGAAUACGCCCGGGUCCCAAAUUUCAUUACGGACCCUCCGGGAACAUCACAUCACGGGUCCGGGUCCUUUUACCCAAAACAUUAACCAAAGUCACCUAUAGCAAUAUUAGUAUCGAAAUUCAUUGUUUUUAACACAGAAUUCAAAUAUUUUCACGUAAAAAUUUUCCGGCUUCGCACCUUGACUGCGCAUGAAAAUUGAGGCAACAAAAUAAGAGGUUUUCAAGGCCUUAGAAGCGCAAGGAAUGGGAGAAUUGUAGUGAUUACCUUUUGGGUCGUCACAUGAAUAACUCAACAGAACAGUAUUUCACAACUUAACACUUUGCCUCAAUGUGAAUUACGAUCUUUAUAACUCAAUGCCUCUUUCAAUAAUAAGAUACUCCAAGAAUAAAAACUUCAAAUAAACAACUUGACGGUUACAUAGUGAAUAUAGAAUAAGGGAAAAGAGAAACUUCAACUAAACACGUAGAGCAAUUGAAAAAUAAUGGAUAAGUAGAGAAUGUGAAAUAGACUAAUGCUGAUGAAUAUAACGUGUUAAGAUAAUAAUUUAGGCAAGAAAGGAAUCCACAUAGCUAAAAGCGGUAAAUUUUAUAAUUAGCCAGUGUACACACUUGUCACCUUACGUACACGGCUUCCACACAUCACAAUUGUCACAAACAACAGCAAAUUCUCUCACACAAGAUUAGGCAAGACACUUACCUCAAAUCAUGCUACCUCAAUCUACUAGUAGGCCUUUUCCUCGAUUAACCAACUCCGAACGGCUCGAAUAUAGCCAAAAUAACUUCAUACUAUAAAUAUAACUAUAACAAACUAUUUGGUGUUGUAAAACUAUGAUCUUUGCAAAGAAAUAAAAAGCCAAUUAAAAAAGUAAACUCAGGCCCGCGUCUCGAAACCCAAACCAAAAUUAUUAAAAUCUGAAUAACCAUUUAAUAACUAGUCCAACCAUACAAGAAUUACUCAAAUCUAACCUUAAAUCGCCUUUUAAAUACUCAAAUUUUAGCAUAACGAGUUUCACAAAUUUUUCCCGAAAUUCCUUACUCAAAUCACUAACUAAAUAAUGAAAUAAACAAUAGAUUCCUGUAACUUAAUAAUAACCGAUUUAGGAUUUCUUAACCCAAUAUUUUCCUUGAAAAACUCCCAAAACAUCGCCACAAAUUGAGUUCUCUAGGUCGAAAAAUGGAUUAUAAAAUCAAACCCCCGACUUAGGUCUUUUUCGGCCAAGGGAAUUCCUACUUGCAAGCUCAAAGCCGCAUUUGCGGCUCCGCACCUGCAGAAGUUCUAUCGCAGGUGUGGCCAUGAUUUAAGUUCUGAGAAUAUGCAUUUGCACCAAAUGGCACCUACGCUAACGCUACUCUAACCUACGGCUCGCUUUUACAAGCCCGAUUCUACAGAGUUUCGACUACACAUGCGGUGCUUCUCCAGGCCAGUGAACUCCGCUCCUGCGCUUCUACUUCUGUGGAAAAUACACUGCACCUACAACCCCAGCUGGGCAUGCCAAAAUCCAAUUCAACAACUCGAGGGCUGCACCAGACACGUCGACCUUCACCAAUUACAUGAAGUCCAAACUUGUUCGGGAUUCUAUCUAAAUUACCCGGGGCCCGCGGGACCCCGUCCGAAUAUAUCAACAAGUUCAAAAAUACUUAAUGGACCUACUUGAGGACAAAAAUCACAUAAAGUAAACAUUGAUUAUUUGAAUCUCCACCCAAUUCAAGCAUAUGGAAUUUAUGAAUUUCCGAAAUAUGAAAUUAAUGUCAUUCAUAUCAAAAUAAUUCUGAUUGACUUUAAAUUUUGCACACAAGUAAUAAUUGGUAUUGUUAUACUCCAUUUUAACACCGGUCAAACUAGAGUAUAACAUAUUGGUAAUUCUGAAGGUUUAAUUAAUUAAAGAGAGUCGUCACCUAAUUAUUUUAACGGUGAAUUAGGAAACCAAUUUUAACGAAAUAAUACUUAAAGUUAACUCUAUUUUUAUGAUCUGCUUAACCUUAAGAUUAUGGGUAAGGGUUAUAAUUAAUCAUGUAGGAAAGGUUAUUAAAGCACCAUAUAUAAUCCAUUAAUAAUGGUUAACCGGCCAAACUUAGUAACUUAAUAAUGACUAUAUAUAGUAAUUGAUAUGUUUUAGGAAAAAGUAACUCAUAUUCGUUACAAUGCUAAAGAGCAUAGGUCAAUAAUAAGCAGAAUCAGUUAAAGUAUAUUGAUGUUCCAAUUAUCUACAUAAGUUAAUAGUAAACUCAUAGCUCAUCAUCUCAUAUUACUACGAUCAUUUAUGGUGCCAUGAAACUUAUAUUACCUAUGUAUAACAGAUAAUGAAAUGCAUGGGCAAGUAGGUGAACUUAACCCAUAAUAGCUAAAUGUUCUUCAUAUCUGGAUAUUCUGUUUUCGACAAGGAAAAGCCGUUCAUCAUUACUGAUGAAUUUGAGAGUUGAGAAUUAGAAACACUAUAAAUAGAUUGUAACAUAAAAGAAAAUACGCUCUUAAAUUCAAAUGAUACACUAAAUUUUGUCCAUCAAUUACCCUUUUGAGGUUCUUGUUAGUUCAAGUCUACAGGGAGGAAACUAAAUGCUUGGGCAAACACCACCACAUAUAAAAAACAGAAACCAGAAAAAUGCCUAAAAUUGGUUUCUAAUAAAGUGUAAACAUAACAUCAUCGAUCAUAUUAACAGAUGUGAUAACAAAUUUAGACAUGCUUUAAUAUUAUAAUGUCAGAGUAUAUUGUUUUCAAGAGACACGGUCUCCGGAUGAUGGAAUGUCCAAUACUUAGUAAUUAAAUCCCAUAGACAAGAUUUCUACUCACUUUACGGCUUUAACACCUCCUUUCUGACAGAUAAAUUUGGUUAACUAAAGGUGAAAUCUUAAAACAUGUCUUUUAUGCAGAGGUAGAUAUAAUCCUAUAAUCAGCUAAGCAUAGGAAGAGAAAUGCUGGUAUUUACUGUUAAGAAACCAAACAUAGUGUUACGAUGAGCUAGUCGUGAGACCGAGAGCAUUAUAACACAAGUAAGAUGCUCACCAGACUUUGUUAAAUAUAGGUCAAUUGUGUUUUAGUGACAAGGCCAGAAUAUAUAUUUUCUUAAAGAUAUGGCUUGAGAUAACAAAUUAACAGAAGUUAACAAGCAGCAUUCUAGAAUUCCUUUAGGAUAGGCGAAACACAAAAGCGAAACGAGAAGCUAAAAUUAUUUCACAACACGCAACACCCUUUCAAUAUUGAAUCAAGAAGAAGACAAAAAUCACGGACCUGCUUUGGGGCAGUGAACUGAGGGCGUUUGCAAGGGCUUCUUGAAUCUCCGCUUCAAACUUUUUAUGACCGAAUCGACACGAUCAAAGCGAAAAAGAGAAAAACUAAAGGCUAACAGAGAAUUGAGAAGAGAGAAAAAGAGCAACAAAAUGAGGGUUUGAAGCUAGAAUUUUUGGAGGAUUUUGGGAAUAGCAGCGACGGCUCCCAGCCAUUUGUUUGGGAAGUAAAGGUGCAGCUUAGAGCCUUAGGUUAAAGGAGGG
rnacentral:lncRNA from 1 species